UACGUAGGUGGCAAGCGUUGUCCGGAUUUACUGGGCGUAAAGGAUGCGUAGGCGGACAUUUAAGUCAGAUGUGAAAUACCCGAGCUUAACUUGGGUGCUGCAUUUGAAACUGGGUGUCUAGAGUGCAGGAGAGGUAAGUGGAAUUCCUAGUGUAGCGGUGAAAUGCGUAGAGAUUAGGAAGAACACCGGUGGCGAAGGCGACUUACUGGACUGUAACUGACGCUGAGGCAUGAAAGCGUGGGGAGCGAACCGG
rnacentral:rRNA from 1 species